AAAUAGCCAUAGGCGCAUUGGAAGACAGGAACAUACACGAACAAACGAAAAGGACCAGACGAAAAAAUACGAAUCAUUUUUAUUUGUUUUUUUGUU
rnacentral:ribozyme from 1 species